rnacentral:misc_RNA from 1 species
GGACUACCAGGGUAUCUAAUCCUGUUUGCUCCCCACGCUUUCGAGCCUCAACGUCAGUUAUCGUCCAGUAAGCCGCCUUCGCCACUGGUGUUCCUCCUAAUAUCUACGCAUUUCACCGCUACACUAGGAAUUCCACUUACCUCUCCGACACUCUAGCAAAACAGUUUCCAAAGCAGUCCCAGGGUUGAGCCCUGGGUUUUCACUUCAGACUUGCUUCGCCGUCUACGCUCCCUUUACACCCAGUAAAUCCGGAUAACGCUUGCCCCAUACGUAUUACCGCGGCUGCUGGCACGUAUUUAGCCGGAGCUUCUUAGUCAGGUACCGUCACUAUCUUCCCUGCUGAUAGAGCUUUACAUAACGAAUUACUUCUUCACUCACGCGGCGUCGCUGCAUCAGAGUU